rnacentral:rRNA from 1 species
CGGUGGAGCAUGUGGUUUAAUUCGAUGCAACGCGAAGAACCUUACCUGGUCUUGACAUAUCUAGAAUCCUGCAGAGAUGCGGGAGUGCCUUCGGGAAUUAGAAUACAGGUGCUGCAUGGCUGUCGUCAGCUCGUGUCGUGAGAUGUUGGGUUAAGUCCCGCAACGAGCGCAACCCUUGUCCUUAGUUACCAGCGGGUUAAGCCGGGAACUCUAAGGAUACUGCCAGUGACAAACUGGAGGAAGGCGGGGACGACGUCAAGUCAUCAUGGCCCUUACGACCAGGGCUACACACGUGCUACAAUGGUAGGUACAGAGGGCAGCUACACAGCGAUGUGAUGCGAAUCUCAAAAAGCCUAU